UACAGAGACUGCAAGCGUUAUUCGGAUUCACUGGGCGUAAAGGGUGCGCAGGCGGUUGGGUGUGUCAGGUGUGAAACCUCCGGGCUCAACCCGGAGACGCCACCUGAUACUGCUGUGGCUAGAGUCCAGUAGGGGAGCGUGGAAUUCCCGGUGUAGCGGUGAAAUGCGCAGAUAUCGGGAGGAACACCAGUGGCGAAGGCGGCGCUCUGGGCUGGUACUGACGCUGAGGAGCGAAAGCGUGGGGAGCGAACAGG
rnacentral:rRNA from 1 species